AGCAACCAGUGAGGAUUGAACCCACGAUCCCUGGUUUACAGAACCAGUGCUCUAACCACCGAGCUAUGACGGC